rnacentral:rRNA from 1 species
CCCAUUGGUUUGGAAUAACACGAGGAAACUUGUGCUAAUACCAGAUAAGCCUUUACGGGGAAAGCUUUAUGCGCCGAUGGAUGAGCCCGCACUUGAUUAGCUAGUUGGUAAGGUAAAAGCUUACCAAGGCUACGAUCAAUAGCUGAUCUGAGAGGAUGAUCAGCCACAUUGGGACUGAGACACGGCCCAAACUCCUACGGGAGGCAGCAGUAGGGAAUCUUGCACAAUGGGGGAAACCCUGAUGCAGCGAUGCCGCGUGAGUGAAGAAGGCCUUUGGGUUGUAAAGCUCUUUCGUCGGGGAAGAAAAUGACUGUACCCGAAUAAGAAGGUCCGGCUAACUUCGUGCCAGCAGCCGCGGUAAUACGAAGGGACCUAGCGUAGUUCGGAAUUACUGGGCUUAAAGAGCUCGUAGGUGGUUAGAAAAGUUGGUGGUGAAAUCCCAAGGCUUAACCUUGGAGCUGCCACCAAAACUUUUUAACUAGAGUAUGAUAGAGGUAAGCGGAAUUUCUAGUGUAGAGGUGAAAUUCGUAGAUAUUAGAAAGAACACCAAUUGCGAAGGCAGUUUACUGGAUCAUUACUGACACUGAGGAGCGAAAGCAUGGGUAGCG